rnacentral:misc_RNA from 1 species
AAGUCGUAACAAGGUUUCCGUAGGUGAACCUGCGGAAGGAUCACUAACAAAUCAUUGUAGCGCAUCAGAGGUGGUCAAACACUUCCUGAUGUUGCUCACAUAAACCCGAACCUGUGCAGCAAUGCCAGGCGAGGUGUAGAGCCUUCGGGUCCUGCGGUGAAAGACUAAUGAGAGUAUUCAUAGUCCGGAUCCACAUAGACGCUUUUUAGUUUGACAGUAUCAGUUGACACAAUCAAAAUGACAACUUUUAACAAUGGAUCUCUUGGCUCUU